AAUCCAUAGGUUAAUGAGGCGAACCGGGGGAACUGAAACAUCUAAGUACCCCGAGGAAAAGAAAUCAACCGAGAUUCCCCCAGUAGCGGCGAGCGAACGGGGAGGAGCCCAGAGCCUGAAUCAGCAUAUGUGUUAGUGGAAGCGUCUGGAAAGGCGCGCGAUACAGGGUGACAGCCCCGUACACAAAAGCGCAUGUGCUGUGAGCUCGAUGAGUAGGGCGGGACACGUGGUAUCCUGUCUGAAUAUGGGGGGACC
rnacentral:rRNA from 1 species